rnacentral:rRNA from 1 species
AUUGAACGCUGGCGGCAGGCCUAACACAUGCAAGUCGGACGAGCGGCGGACGGGUGAGUAAUGUAUGGGGAUCUGCCUGAUGGAGGGGGAUAACGACUGGAAACGGUAGCUAAUACCGCAUACCAUCAGAUGAACCCAUAUUGGAUUAGCUUGUGGGUGGGGUAACGGCUCACCUAGGCGACGAUCCCUAGCUGGUCUGAGAGGAUGAUCAGCCACACUGGGACUGAGACACGGCCCAGACUCCUACGGGAGGCAGCAGUGGGGAAUAUUGCACAAUGGGCGCAAGCCUGAUGCAGCCAUGCCGCGUGUAUGAAGAAGGCCUUCGGGUUGUAAAGUACUUUCAGUCGGGAGGCGUUACCUACAGAAGAAGCCCCGGCUAACUCCGUGCCAGCAGCCGCGGUAAUAC